UACCUCAGUAACGGCGAGUGAAGCGGUAACAGCUCAAAUUUGAAAUCUGGGUCUUUCAGGCUCCGAGUUGUAAUUUGUAGAAGAUGCUUCGGGUGCGGCUCCGGUCUAAGUUCCUUGGAACAGGACGUCAUAGAGGGUGAGAAUCCCGUAUGUGAUCGGUUGCUUGCGCCCAUGUGAAGCUCUUUCGACGAGUCGAGUUGUUUGGGAAUGCAGCUCCAAAUGGGUGGUAUAUUUCAUCUAAAGCUAAAUAUUGGCCAGAGACCGAUAGCGCACAAGUAGAGUGAUCGAAAGAUGAAAAGCACUUUGGAAAGAGAGUUAAACAGUACGUGAAAUUGUUGAAAGGGAAGCGCUUGCAACCAGACUUGCGUGUCGUCGAUCAUCCGGGGUUCUCCCCGGUGCACUCGGCUUCACUCAGGCCAGCAUCGGUUUCGGUGGUUGGAUAAAGGCCUUGGGAAUGUAGCUCCUCUCGGGGAGUGUUAUAGCCCUCGGUGCAAUGCAGCCUACCGGGACCGAGGACCGCGCUUCGGCUAGGAUGCUGGCGUAAUGGUUGUAAGCGACCCGUCUUGAAACACGGACCAAGGAGUCUAACAUCUAUGCGAGUGUUUGGGUGUCAAACCCAUACGCGUAAUGAAAGUGAACGGAGGUGAGAACCCUUAAGGGUGCAUCAUCGACCGAUCCUGAUGUCUUCGGAUGGAUUUGAGUAAGAGCAUAGCUGUUGGGACCCGAAAGAUGGUGAACUAUGCCUGAAUAGGGUGAAGCCAGAGGAAACUCUGGUGGAGGCUCGCAGCGGUUCUGACGUGCAAAUCGAUCGUCAAAUUUGGGUAUAGGGGCGAAAGACUAAUCGAACCAUUAACCUCACUAGGUGGUUAAGAGGGUGCUGAAAAGGCAGCCCUAGUCCCCGUAGCCGGGGCGACACUUUCAAAUUGUUCGGGGACCACCCGCUAUAAAUUCCAAGCUACCGCAGCCGGACGGAAACGUCAGGUGCGCACCAGGGUAAUGACCUCGGGGAUGGUAACAACGCUUGGGUAGGGUCAAUCCGCAGCGAAGUCCUAAGGGUGCUUACGCACCUAUGGAGCGCGUUCACAGACUACAUGUUAGUGGGUUCGGGCAGGAGACUGCCCGGGCUUAAGGUAUAGUCGGGCCGCCUCGAGAGAGGAGCAGGCAGACGAAGGUUGUGGCGGGGCUACGCCUGGGGUUCACCCCCAGGUCCCCACGACCCCGAGCUGUCUGGGGGG
rnacentral:rRNA from 1 species